rnacentral:rRNA from 1 species
AGUGAACGCUGGCGGUAGGCCUAACACAUGCAAGUCGAACGGCAGCACAGUAAGAGCUUGCUCUUACGGGUGGCGAGUGGCGGACGGGUGAGGAAUACAUCGGAAUCUACUUUUUCGUGGGGGAUAACGUAGGGAAACUUACGCUAAUACCGCAUACUACCUACGGGUGAAAGCAGGGGAUCUUCGGACCUUGCGCGAUUGAAUGAGCCGAUGUCGGAUUAGCUAGUUGGCGGGGUAAAGGCCCACCAAGGCGACGAUCCGUAGCUGGUCUGAGAGGAUGAUCAGCCACACUGGAACUGAGACACGGUCCAGACUCCUACGGGAGGCAGCAGUGGGGAAUAUUGGACAAUGGGCGCAAGCCUGAUCCAGCAAUACCGCGUGAGUGAAGAAGGCCUUCGGGUUGUAAAGCCCUUUUGUUGGGAAAGAAAAGCAGCAGGUUAAUACCCCGCUGUUCUGACGGUACCCAAAGAAUAAGCACCGGCUAACUUCGUG